rnacentral:antisense_RNA from 1 species
CUUGAGGGAGCCCAGCCACAGCGGCCGUUCCCGGUCCUGGCCGUAGGUGGUCAGAAUCGCCUGUGCCUC